AGCUCACCUUAGUCUCUUUAUUAAACUAAACAAACUUUUAGACUUAAGAGCUAUUCAAAUAAGGCACAGCUUAUUUGAAAUAGGACACAACCUACAACAUAGGGUAAAUGAGAGUGACCUAAAUAAAGUGGGCCUAAAAGCAGCCACCUUCAGAAAAGCGUUAAAGCUUAACUACCUUCACUCAUAAUGCCUAAAAUCUCCACUAACCCUUCAUUACUACUGAACAAUUUUAUACUCAUAUAAAAGCUAUCAUGCUAGAACUAGUAACAAGAAACUGCUUUUCUCCUAAAUGUAAACAUAAACCAAAAUAGACCAUCUAUUGGUUAUUAACGUAAAUGCUAAACUGUAGCAACACUCACUAGAAAAUCCUAUAAACCCCAACGUUAACCUUACACCAGAACAUUACAGGAAAGAUUAAAAGAAAAAGAAGGAACUCGGCAAAUUUUAGCCUCGCCUGUUUACCAAAAACAUCGCCUCUUGACAAACAUAAGAGGUCCAGCCUGCCCAGUGACAAAGUUCAACGGCCGCGGUACCCUAACCGUGCAAAGGUAGCACAAUCACUUGUUCUUUAAAUGAGGACUCGUAUCAACGGCACUACGAGGGCUAUACUGUCUCCUUUUUCUAAUCAGUGAAACUGAUCUCCCCGUGAAGAAGCGGGGAUUGUAAUAUAAGACGAGAAGACCCCAUGGAGCUUUAAACUCACCAUGUACCCCUGUGCUCCCAUACCCCCAGACACAACAGACCUACAUGUUAGUUUUAGGUUGGGGUGACCACGGAGUAUAACUUAACCUCCAUAGCAAAUGGGCUAAUACCCUUAUCCACGAGACACAACUCUAAGAAUUACUAAACUAAUGCUUACGACCCGAUAUUCGAUCCAUGAACCAAGUUACCCUGGGGAUAACAGCGCAAUCUACUUCAAGAGCCCAUAUCGACAAGUAGGUUUACGACCUCGAUGUUGGAUCAGGGUAUCCCGGUGGUGCAGCCGCUACCAAUGGUUCGUUUGUUCAACGAUUAAAACCCUACGUGAUCUG
rnacentral:rRNA from 1 species